ensembl:snoRNA
CUGGCCCUGAAUCAAGGCCGGCAGUUAGCUGAAACUGCUGGCUUCAAAUAGGAGCCUAAAGAAAUGUCUUUGUAUGGUCUGCUGGCUAUUUCAGGAAUUUGGAAAAGUAAUGGCCAAUUAAUUAGAAAGGUGUUUAU